rnacentral:tRNA from 1 species
GGCCUGCUAGCUCCCUCGGUUAGAGCGUCGUGCUAAUAACGCGAAGGUCGUAGGUUCGAUCCCUGCACAGGCCA